rnacentral:rRNA from 1 species
CCUACGGGAGGCAGCAGUGAGGAAUAUUGGUCAAUGGGCGGAAGCCUGAACCAGCCAAGUAGCGUGCAGGAUGACGGCCCUACGGGUUGUAAACUGCUUUUAUACGGGAAUAACGCGCCUUACGUGUAGGGCUUUGCAUGUACCGUAUGAAUAAGGACCGGCUAAUUCCGUGCCAGCAGCCGCGGUAAUACGGAAGGUCCGGGCGUUAUCCGGAUUUAUUGGGUUUAAAGGGAGCGUAGGCCGCAUGUCAAGCGUGCUGUGAAAUGUCCGGGCUCAACCCGGGCCUUGCCGCGGGUACUGGCGGGCUGGAGGGCAGGGACAGGAGGCGGAA